rnacentral:rRNA from 1 species
ACUCAAAUGAAUAGACGGGGGCCCGCACAAGCGGUGGAGGAUGUGGUUUAAUUCGACGCAACGCGAAGAACCUUACCUGGGCUUGAAGUGAUAGGUAAACCUCUGGAAACAGGGGCUUCCCGCAAGGGAGACCUAUUAGAGGUGCUGCAUGGCUGUCGUCAGCUCGUGUCGUGAGAUGUUGGGUUAAGUCCCGCAACGAGCGCAACCCUUGUCGUUAGUUACCAGCGAGUAAUGUCGGGGACUCUAGCGAGACUGCCGGUGGUAAACCGGAGGAAGGUGGGGAUGACGUCAAGUCCUCAUGGCCCUUACGUCCAGGGCUACACACGUCCUACAAUGGCCAGGACAACGGGAUGCAAGACCGCGAGGUGGAGCAAAUCCCUUAAACUUGGUCUCAGUUCAGAUUGCAGUCUGCAACUCGACUGCAUGAAGUUGGAAUCGCUAGUAAUCGCGGAUCAGCACGCCGCGGUGAAUACGUUCCCGGGCCUUGUACACACCGCCCGU